rnacentral:pre_miRNA from 1 species
UGGAUAAAUUAUUCGACUGUAUUUGACUGUAUUCACUGCGUGAAAUAGGGGAUUACACUAUUUUUAAAACAGAAAGUGAACCAAUUAACAUAAUGGACUCCU